UGGGGAAUAUUGCACAAUGGGCGCAAGCCUGAUGCAGCCAUGCCGCGUGUAUGAAGAAGGCCUUCGGGUUGUAAAGUACUUUCAGCGGGGAGGAAGGGAGUAAAGUUAAUACCUUUGCUCAUUGACGUUGCCCGCAGAAGAAGCACCGGCUAACUCCGUGCCAGCAGCCGCGGUAAUACGGAGGGUGCAAGCGUUAAUCGGAAUUACUGGGCGUAAAGCGCACGCAGGCGGUUUGUUAAGUCAGAUGUGAAAUCCUCGGGCUCAACCUGGGAACUGCAUCUGAUACUGGCAAGCUUGAGUCUCGUAGAGGGGGGUAGAAUUCCAGGUGUAGCGGUGAAAUGCGUAGAGAUCUGGAGGAAUACCGGUGGCGAAGGCGGCCCCCUGGACGAAGACUGACGCUCAGGUGCGAAAGCGUGGGGAGCAAACAGG
rnacentral:rRNA from 1 species